UUCCUGGUGGCUCAGAUGGUAAAGCGUUUGCCUACAAUGCAGGAGACCCGGGUUCAAAACCUGGGUCAGGAGG
rfam:TPA: Bos taurus chromosome 16, whole genome shotgun sequence.